rnacentral:miRNA from 1 species
CGAGUAGAUUGCAGCAAGGAUGACUUGCCGGAAUUGCCAUCGCUUGGCAGAAAGGAUGACUUGCCGGAUUUGCAAGUUGUCUUUGGCUACAUUUUGCUCCCU